rnacentral:rRNA from 1 species
AACGAACGCUGGCGGCAUGCCUAACACAUGCAAGUCGAACGAGACCUUCGGGCCUAGUGGCGCACGGGUGCGUAACGCGUGGGAACCUGCCCUUAGGUUCGGAAUAACUCCCCGAAAGGGGUGCUAAUACCAGAUAAUGUCUUCGGACCAAAGAUCUAUCGCCUUUGGAUGGGCCCGCGUUGGAUUAGCUAGUUGGUAGGGUAAAAGCCUACCAAGGCGACGAUCCAUAGCUGGUCUGAGAGGAUGAUCAGCCACACUGGGACUGAGACACGGCCCAGACUCCGACGGGGGGCAGCAGUGGGGAAUAUUGGACAAUGGGCGAAGGCCUGAUCCAGCAAUGCCGCGUGAGUGAGGAAGGGCUUAGUGUUGUAAAGCUCUUUUACCCGGGAUGAUAAUGACAGUACCGGGAGAAUAAGCACCGGCUAACUCCGUG